GUGCUUGGGCGAGAGUAGUACUAGGAUGGGUGACCACCUGGGAAGUUCUCGUGUUGCACCC
rnacentral:rRNA from 1 species